rnacentral:lncRNA from 1 species
AGGAAACAUGGCACACGGAUGAGGGAGAGCAUUAGGUCUCUGCACACGUGGAAUAGAAAGUGCAACUUCUUUGCUAAACGCUGUGUUUUGGCUACUAAUGAAGUGCAAGUUUAGACAGUAGUAGUAACAUAAUCACAGUAGUAUAUUAGUAAAUGUGAUGUGCUUUUUACAGAAGUGAUUUGUGUGGUUCCUGAGAUAGAUGGCAUGGUAGGCAAUGGGACAGACAUGCUCUGCAAUAACGCUGCAAAUGAAGCAAGUAAGGUAUGGAUGGUAUGCCUAAAUCCGUGGGUUUGGGAGGAGUUCCCUACGUGAUUGAAAUGCUAAUUCCACCUCUUAAUUUCAGUUUAAAGUAACCUGCAGCUCUGAUCAUUUUAGUGUGAUUGAUCCAAAUCAGUCUAGCAGAGUUAGCAGGUCGUAAUUAGGCUCCAUCUAAUCUUAACGCAAUCUGAUGAUCACCACCUGCAGGAGGGCUGAUGGCCCUUCAAAGGAGGCAGCCCAGGAGGCUCAUGCUUCUUCUAAGUGGGGUGCUGGUAGCUCCUGAGAGCUCCUAGCUGUGUGGUGAGUAAGCAUGUUAAUGCACAGUGCAGAGACUGUAAAGCAACUGGCUCAGAAUCGAGUCCUGAGGUCUUUACGCAGUUCUUAACCAGUCCUUGUGCAAGAGAAGAGCAUCUUGGGUGCAGAUAUUACAGAAGCCUGCAAACCUGAAGAACACCAAGAGAGUGAACACAGGACCUGCACCCAUCGCAGCGUUCAGCUGCCAGACCUUCACAUCCCAGGAUGGCCCCUGUAAUAGCUGCACACGUGGAACGAGAUUUACUCAGUGAAUGGUGCUGCUGAUGGAUGCUGAGCGUCGUUUGGGGACAAAGAGGUGCAGAUGUCUCGGCUGUAUGGAGCAGCAAUGGGGGGGGACAGGACUCUCGAUUAUUUGUUCAAAGUUGCCUCUGCAGUGGACGGUCUUAGGAAGCCACGGCCAGAUUGUAGCAGACUUGCUGGGUGACCUGCUGCUGCCCAUGGCCAGUACCAACGGCCAGGACAUCCAUCGUGAGCGCAGUUCCCUCCUGUGAAAUGGCUUUGCCCUUCAUCUCCAAUGCACGGAUGCAGGUGGACUGCCAGGCACCGCUCUCCAUACAGGUACAGAAGAGCGAGGUCAAAACACGGUACCAGCUCCACUUUGUGCACCUUCUCCUGGUGAGCCCUCCCAGUGCUCCUUCUGCAAGUGUUUUUUUUUUAUACCCCUGCUGGGGGUUAUAAAAAAUGCAUUUUUCUUGGCUUAAAAAAGUAAAUUUAGGCACUACUUUUUGUGUUUUAAGACUCUAAGAAAUAUGUGUACUUUGAUUUAAAAAUGCCAUUGUGUCACAAUUUAUGCCCCCUUGAGCCUAGCUCUUUAUGAGUUUUUCAUACUGGAAUAUUGCUGUUAUUUAUUAAAUCCCUGAUAAAGCUGCACUUAAUACUCCCAUAAUAGAAUAUGCAUCUUUAAAUCUGCUGAAUAUGUGGUUUGUCACUGAUGCAAAGUGUACUGAUUAAUUAAAUAAGACUUAGAGAUUCAUAAAGCAAUUGCUGCAAAAUGAAAUGUUAUUUACAUCUAAGUAUAUUAUCAAUUAUGGAAACUUAAUUUUUCCCUUACACAAUCUGUCUUGAAAUUCCACUGAUAGUGUAGUAGUCUCUGAUGAUUUAAUGAUUUAAAACUAAUUUUCAGUAUUGAGCACGCUUGCAAAAAAUCAGCAGUGUUUUUCAAAACAAAUAAAGUUGAUAUUUUGCAUAAUGGCA